GGGGUGUGCUCAGAGCAAGGGGCCUAAAGAAUAGCUGUUUAUAACACACCCAACAGGAAUCUGGGGUCAUCGUAAUGAGUGACACAAAACCUGUAGCCUCCCUAUGAACAAAUUCUCUACAUGU
ensembl:snoRNA